rnacentral:rRNA from 1 species
ACGUAGGUGGCGAGCGUUAUCCGGAUUUAUUGGGUUUAAAGGGAGCGUAGGUGGACUGGUAAGUCAGUUGUGAAAGUUUGCGGCUCAACCGUAAAAUUGCAGUUGAUACUGCCAGUCUUGAGUACAGUAGAGGUGGGCGGAAUUCGUGGUGUAGCGGUGAAAUGCGUAGAGAUCUGGAGGAAUACCGGUGGCGAAGGCGGCUUUCUGGACUGUAACUGACACUGAGGCAUGAAAGCGUGGGGAGCAAACA